rnacentral:rRNA from 1 species
UUUUUUAAUUGAGAACUUGUAUGAAUGGUUGAAUGAGAUAUUAACUGUUUCAAAUAAAAAAGUAGAAUUUUAUUUUUUAGUAAAAAAGCUAAAAUAAAUUUAAAGGACGAGAAGACCCUAUAAAGUUUAAUAGUUUUAUAAUUAUAAUUUUUAAAAAAUAAUCUAAAUUUUAAUUUUAAAAAUAUUUUAUUGGGGAGAUAAUAAAAUUUAAUAAACUUUUAUAUUUUAUAAACAUAGAUUAAUGAAUUUAUGAUCCUUUAUUAAUGAUUAAAAAUUUAAAUUACUUUAGGGAUAACAGCGUAAU